UAGCUGUCUCCAGCACACCACUCGACAGGUUACCUGGAAGUCUUGGCUAGUGGCGUAUUGAAGCAGAUCUGAAGUUUACGCCCAUUUAAUAAAGCCCCGUGUAUGUCCAGCUACUGCUUUGUAAAGACAACAUCCCACCCCAACUGGAUGAAUUGCAAAGGUACCAAGAUCUCAUUUAGAAAUCCUCACUAUUUUCAUGUGAUUUGAGAAAGGAUUGUAUUUAAAUGGCGUUUUGGCAUUUGGAGGGAAACAGACACGCCCUGUCGGGUGAAAUCUCAGGGAUGAUCAGUGAACAAAAACACUGUCACCAAGUAAGUAAACAGUGACAAGUUUAUAAGAUGCUGUUGGCAGUAGCUGGAUUUCUCAGCGCUGAACACUUGAGCUGGGCAUGGUGGGAGCGGCUGGUUAGCCAUUUGUCAGGCAAAGUCAAAACAGCCCUCCAGCUACAGCACAGACGGCAGUCUGCAGCUCGUCAGCAUUUUAUUUAUGACUCUUAAUUAGCAAGCAAAAAAGGAGGGAAGAAGUUCCCAGUUUGGGAUAUACAUACUUAUACAUACAUAUUUUGCCCAGAAAUUAUCUUUGUCAAAAUAAUUUAAAUCCUUACAACCCUGGGAUGUAGAUAUUAUAAUUUACAUUUUAUAGACAGGAAAUUCCAUCCUGCAAGGUUUUUGUUUUUUAAGUCCUGUGAAAUCCAAAGGACAAAGUGUGUCUAUUUAUUCUCAAGGAUUCCAAGCCUCACUAAAGGAUGAACUGGAAGGCCACAGCUUCCAAACCCUCUGAGGAGGUGUGGUUGGCAUUGUGGAGAUGGCCAGUAUUUCUGGUUCUCUCCUCCUGCAGGGACAUGAAAAGAUCGCACUUCUCCAUCCCCCUGAAGGGAGUGAACCAGCGAACACACAAGUGUACCCAUGUGGUCUUCAUAGAAAGAUAUCACAUAGGGCAGAAGAUUUCAGGAAGAAAAAAGAAAAAAAAGAAAUCUUUUCAAAUCCAUUUAAAACAAUCCGUGCAGCUGUUUCCUGAACUCUCCAGAAGAACUGAGAUGCAAAAUGCUAUAUCUCCUCUCCAUCACUCCCCCCACCCCCACCCUGCUAACUGGCUUUCAGGUGACGCAAUGAUGAGACCUCUGCGGUGAGCUCUGUCUGGAGGGAUGCAGCCAGCUAACAAAGCAUGGGGUGCUGCCACCUCUUGGAUGUUCGUAGCCAAAGCAAGGCUCUGUCCCAGAAAGGAUGUAUUUCGGUGAUAUUAUGAAAUGUUAACGGGCAAUCUGUUCUGAAAUAAUUGCUCAGUGUGUUGGCCUCCUUUUCCAUUUUAGAAAUUCAAAGGCAUUGCAGGCCAAAAGCAGUGCCAGCCUGUUAGUGGUACCUACAUUGAUUAAAUCUAGCCCAUCACAACCACAGCUACACAAAAGCUCUUUUUCUCAAUUAAUAAAACGCAAUUAAUGGUAUCAUUGAAAAACUCCUGCCACUUCAAUUUAGAGCUAUGUACAGCUUCAAUUUAGAGCUGGGGGCAAAUUUUAGGAUAUGCUUUUUUUAGCUAACAUGAUUAACAGCACCUAAUUUCUGGGAUACACCCAAAUUUCUGCAGGGAAGAAAGAACGUUUACCAGAAACAUAUACAAUAAUGACAGCUUUCUUCCCCUUCUUUCCCUACACACACACACACACACACACACAGGCUCACACAUAUGCAACUCAAUUCAGUUCCAGUUAUUUGGUGGUCACACUGUCUCCCUUGCCUGUGGGAAACCUGAUAUGUCCACGCUGGAGAUAUCCAGGGUGCUCUGAAGUAGGAUACAAAGUCUAAGUCCUUUAUUGCAUGAUGGCUCUUUUGAAAUAUUUAUAUUGAUCAGCCCAGUUCCUGAGAGGAAAUACCUUGUUUCUCUUAUUCUCCCAGGUAUAGGUCAUUUGAGCUGUUGGGUUGUCAUUUUUUUAAUCUCCUCAUUUCCCUAAGGAUGGUGAGAGGAUGAUUUAAACGGCAACAUUAGCUGCUUUAGGCUAAAUUUUCAAAGCUACACCAGGGGAGUUAAAAGCGCAAAUCCUGUUAUUGUUACCGGAUUAAUGCACAGAAGUCCCAGAAUGCCACUUUGGAAAUGUAGCCAAGGAAUAUUAUUUUAAUGUACUGUAUGUUAUUUUUAGACUCAACCAUAGCCCAAUUAUCAGCUGGCAUAUCAAAAAUGAAACAAGACAGAUAGCUGUCUUUAAUCCAAAAUUCUAAUGAGGUUUUUGAUGUUUGUGUUUUCUCAUCACUUAGAAAUCUGGAUAUUUGGAGAAAAAAGUAAAAGAAACUACAACGGCUACCUCCUACCUGCUCUGUUGCUAUAGAGGCUGCUACUUAGAGUACUGGUUCUAUAGAAUAUUUUAUCACGGUUUUUUUUUUUUCCUUGGAGAGGCAGGUGGUAGGAAAGGAGGUAUUAAAUCAUUGAGACCUCUUGACCACACCAUAAAAAGCUGCAAAUCAACCACAGCAUACUAAUGAUUUCAAGGCAGCAAGUCAGGGUUCCUGCCACCAGUCAUUUCUAUUUCUGCUUUUACACAUCUUAGAUUGUUAUUUAAAAAUAACUAUCUGCAAAAGGUCUUCCAGUUGGAGUAACUUUGCUUCCAAGUUGCCCUGUGGGCAUCAACCAACAUUUAUUGAUUCUCUAGACGCCUGCUGUUGGGUUUUAUUAAACUGGGCCUGUCUUUCCUUUUGACCUCCGGGUAAUUGCAUGGAUCAGGAAUGACCACUUCACUGUGUCUUGGCUACAUCUACUCUGCUAGAUGAUGGCCCCCAGAAGAACUCUUGCCUUUCCGUUAAUCAAGAAAUCCUCUACACCAGUCGUUCCUCUCACUAAUUUUAAAAUCCCAGAGCAUCUUUUGCUAUCUCAAAAGGUAUUGCAUCUUUCUAAAAGGAACAAGCACGCUUGCACAGACCUGUUUUUGUGUGGGGCACAGUGGUGGGCCGUAUCCCCACUUCCGUAAACUCCAGGAUUUCACUUGGUCAGUAAAGACAGUUUCACUUGGAACUCUCUCUGUCUUUGGCCACCAAGGACUCGCAGAUCCCAGAGCCAUCUCAGCAAAGAGAACCAAACCCCUUUGGCACCACAGUGACCACCAGGCCUGACCUUGCUUUUCGGAGCAGAUGUGAGGAGAAUUAAAUGAGUAACGUUCUAAGAAGCACUCAGCACAGUGCUUGGCACACUGUAGGCUCCUCUGAGUUAAGGAAGGCACAGCACCAACAAUUUUUAAAAUUCAUCUUUUAUAUUUAUGUGCAUUUUUCAAUUUACAAAAUUAUUUUUACACAUUAUUUCAUCAGCAAUACAGUGAUGAGCCUCGUUAAUGCCUGCGGUGUGUACUUGAUGUGCAUUUAAUGUGGAGCUGACUCAAGUUACAUGUCGGCUUUUCCCGUGUCGUUUGUACAAAGAGGUUGGGCUAUAAAUAGGACUGAAAUGAAAUUCUGCACUUCAGUUUCUGGGGCGUUAUUCACAUCAUAACUACUAUUCAUCUGUGUUUCAUCAUCUCUGAAAUGGAAGUGAUUGGAGCCUAGACACUCAAAAACCAGAAGAGCGCUCCCAGUUGUAUAUCUGAAAAUUUUAAAAUAGAUUAAUUAAUAAUUCUUAUGAAUAUUUGCUAUUGGUAUAACAAUAAAUUAAGCACUAUGCUAUAUAUACUUUAUGAAUAGUUCCUCCUCUCAAGGAACACUCAUCUAAGAACUACCAGGAUACUUGUGUACACCUAUACUUUAUCAAGAAUAAAAACUUACCAGCACCUAACACAGUAGCACACCUCAUACUUUAUAAUUCCACAUAUUCAUGGAAUAAAUACGUAAAUGAAUGAACACUGUGAAUCACUAAAGAUGAAUUUCAGUGUCAGUUGGUGCAAGUAGAGAGAUCUGAGAACUCAUUGCCCCAUCUGUAAAAUGAGAGCACUAGCACUGCAUUGGAGAAUUAUUAUGAGGAUAAAGUGAGACAAUGUAUGCUAGGCAGCCUUCCAAAAUAGCUCUCAAUGAUCCUCGCCUCCUGGUUUUCAUGACCUGUGUAAUCCCCUGCCCUUAAGUGUGAACUGGUGAUGUGCUUCUAACUAACAGAAUAUGGCAGAGGUGGUGGGAUGUCACUUCUGUGAUUAGGUUACAAAGACUAUCACUUCCAUCUUGCUAGUGUUCUCUCUCUUGCUGGCACUCUCUCUUGCUCUCUUGCCUAUGAGAUGCUCAGAUGGCAAGGGACUGAGGUAGAUCUCUGACCAAAAGCUUGUGAGGAACUGAGGCUUUAGUUCAACAGCACUUGGGGUUCUAAAUCCUGCCCAAAACCACGAGUGAAAGCAAAUUCUCCCCUAGUCAAGCCUUGAGAUGACCACAUGCCUAAGUAGCACCUUGAUUGUGGCCUUGUGAGAGACCCUAAAGCUGAGGACCCAGUCAAGCCACACAAGGACUCCGGACCCACAGAAACUGGGAGAUAAUUAAUGUUGUUUUAAGGCAAUUUUGGUUUUUGGGUAAUUCGCUAUGCUGCAGCAAUAGGUAACUAAUACCAGGCCCUAUCACACCAUGGCUUUUUUAAAGUAUUCACUUUAUAGAAGCCAUUUUAUUAUAUAGCAGGGUUGUAAAUUAAAGUGAGCUUGUCUACAGGACUAGAGUUUUUACAGCUAGCAAAGAGAAUCACAGAGUUGCCCUUACUAAGGAGAAGAGCUAACUAGUUAGACAGUGGAAGGGAAUGACUGGGAUCUGUUCUGCUGAUAAUCUAUCUCCUCAGCAAACACCAAGACUAGAUCUGAAUUGCAACCAGUUCCAAACAGCAGUGAUGAAAGAAUGUCUCCAAUUACACAACUGGUGGGCAAAGACGCAGUUAAAUUCAUCACUGCUGAGCAGGGGUUGAAAUGGCAGUGGUCUCCUAUAACCACUUCCAUAAAACAUUGGGAAACACGGUUGUUUAGUGUGAACCCGGGCCUUGCAGAAAUUAAAUGAUUCCCUCAGCAGUCCUAUUUUGAACUGUUCUCAUCCCCUGCUGUAGACAGUUGGCUCUUAAUCCAUUUUAUAGAAGCACUUUCUGUUCCUUGGAUAAAAGGAAGUACAUAAAUUUCAAGUGCCAUAUUACCAUACAUGCUUGGUUCUGUUUGGGCACAAGCACGUUGUUCUUGUCAUAAAUUCUGACUCAGAAUGGGCGCUCAGGAUUUACCAUCUCACUCUUUAUAGUUACAAGAUCGACUAAACUGAUUACGAGAAGAAAUAUGUAAGCUUUGAAACUGUUCACACCAGUGAUGUGGCUCAGUAGCUUAUACAAGUGGCAAAUAACAGUCAGCCAAAAGAAGAAAAUUUCAGGAGAGACAAGGCUCCUAAAAACACAGGGUCGGUUGUGUUCAGAACUCAGGAGCAGUUGGUUCUCUUUGAAGCCUGGAAUACUUUCUCUACUCCCUGUUGUUGGACUACGGUCCUUGGAAGCAUGGGUUUAUCGCCGUGUAGUUCUCCCUCCAUCACACUGGAGUUUCUAAGGCCCUUCUCUUCUCCGGGGGGUGGCACCCCUAGUAAGUGAGGGGCAGUCAUUCUGGGGAAUGGAAUUUUCUCAAAUCCUCUACAUCUUCAGCUACAGAUUGUGUGUGUGUGUGUGUGUGUGUAUGAAUAUGUUGGUUUGGAUUGGUCGUUUUAGCUACUCAAGAGGGAUCUUGAGCCCCAC
rnacentral:lncRNA from 1 species